AUGCUUCGCGAGCACAGGCGCGACCUGCAGCAGACGCACCGGCUCCUGCUGCUGGGUAGGUGCGGGGCGCCCGGGCGCGGCCCCUGGGGGGGGGGGGGGCGGGCAGGCCGGGGCCGGGGCUGCGGCGGUUGCUCCACCGACGGCACGGACUUGCGCGACGUGGCCGAGAACGCAUUCCCGGGUCAUCUUGCCGCUUUGCGCGCCUGGCGACGUUGGCCAGUUGCCCACUUAUUGGCACCAAGGGCAGGAGACGGUUCGACCUUUCCGCGCGACCUCAGAGCUCGGGUUCCCAUCACUGAAUUAGGGCCGAGCUGGCGCUCCAACCCUGCUGUUCCCAGAGCGUUUGCUUCUCGUGCAGAAGCAGAAGCAGAAGCAGAAGCAGAAGCAGAAGCAGGAGAGCGCGGCGGCUCCCGAGAGCUGUGCGUGGUGCUGGCUGCCUGCGGGAAGGUGGGCACCGAAUCACCAGCGACCGCUCGGUUUGCGAGGAUUUCCUCUGGGCUUUCGCGGUAG
rnacentral:lncRNA from 12 species